GACGGAAGGUGCAAGCGUUGCUCGGAAUCACUGGGCGUAAAGGGUGCGUAGGCGGCCUGGUAAGUCUGGCGUGAAAGCCCAGGGCUCAGCCCUGGAAGGGCGCUAGAAACUGCGAGGCUCGAGUGCCGAGGGGAGAGUGGAAUUCCUGGUGUAGCGGUGAAAUGCGUAGAUAUCAGGAGGAAUACCGGUGGCGAAGGCGGCCUUCUGGACAGUGACUGACGCUGGAGACGCGAAAGCGUGGGGAGCAAACAG
rnacentral:rRNA from 1 species